GAUCACUUUGGCUCAGCAGGAAUGGGAACAACCUACAUGCAGCUGCUUUAACUCUUUUGGCAGAGUUAGGACAUGGCAUCCUAGACACAGGGAGCACCAUUAGCUAAGACAAUGAGGUUGCGUGGCCACAGAGACCUAAAAUACCAGUGCUUUGAAAGAUGAGCACCCUCAAGAGGAGGACAGAAAGGCACAUAUUAGAUGUAAACCUGCAGCAACAUGUGACCAAUAAGGAACACCAAAGAACCAAAGGAACUUCUGACAAUACAGAGUCAGAUGUGCUCCCAGUUCUCUGCUCAAAGCCCAGUCUGUGAUGGACCUCAGGUACUCCAACCAGAGCCUGCUGGCAGUUCUGCUUCUGCAACUGUGAAGAGUCAGUCUGCCUCACUCCUUGGAAACAACCAGAUGCAAAGGAAACAUUUCAUACCACAGAAGGGGACUAAGGCUUGAACAGUUCAAUUGAAGAGGAUGAUGUCAGUGAGAAAAUGAAGUUGCCCCAGGGUAUAAACUGUCUCCAAAUCUUUGCCUCCAGCCACUCAUCCACAUAAGACUUCCUAGGAGUUUGGGCAGAAUAAUUGGGCUGUGCCACAUAUAUAAGUGGAAACUCUCACUGAAGAAAGCCAUCUCCCAUUAGCAAGUAUUUAACAGAAGUCUAUCCUACCUCCUGCCUGCAUGAAAUAAACUUUAAUGACUAUUUUAGUCUAAGGUUCCU
rnacentral:lncRNA from 1 species